rnacentral:lncRNA from 1 species
AGGAAAACUAAUAAAUUCUUUGGCUUCUACUCGCCGUCUUCUUGCAGAACGGGCUCGGGAACCAAGUCCUCAUGAUCUGAAAUGGUUAAGUAAGGAAUGAGCUACACUAGCCCAGUAAAGACAUCACACUAUCUCACUGUCACAGAAGUAAAGGUUGGUACAAAACAAAAAGGACCAAUGGAGCAUAAUUUAUAACAAACUCAUUUAUCAAUAAUAAAAACCUUUAUUGUCCACUUACCUCAGUGAGAUUCAUGAAAACGACCUAUAGAAACAAUAACAUCAUAAAUAUCAUGAAUUCAUACAUAAUCUGUAUUAUAGUACAUGUAAUAUUUUUGUAUUUCAAUCAUCAGGCAACAAAUUUCCUCUUUUAUCAGCCUACUAGUAUCCAUGGAGAUCCAUAGGAUGUCCCCGCUACACGUGAACCAUUUACAUUAAUAACUUAAUUCCAAGGCCAUCCUCAUACCCCGUCCGGUAUGGGCGCCAAAACACAUAAAGUCUCCAUACCCCGUCCGAUAUGAGAGACCACGUUCCUGGUAGGGUUCUCUAUGGACCCGGUCCGUCCACCAUCUCCCAAGAUAUCUAGUGAGGCUGUCGACUUAUCCACUUAUAAAUUCACAUAGCGUCCUUAUUUUUCUUAGUCUCAAUUACCCAAUCAACAUAAAUACGUAUACCAGCAACACACACCAAAUAAGGUAACACAACAUCGGGUUGACAAUAAUUCAAACCAUAAUAGAUUAAAUAGUUAUUCAUGCAUACGGAACCACAGAAUAAACAAUCAGAUACUAUACUGCAUUUAGACUGUAAAAUACAUCAAACAGAAACAGACCGAUAAAUACAUCAGGUUUGGGCCCCAUUAGCAAUCUUAAUUAAUUAUACAUAUCUAUUAAUUCAUAAAAUACCGUUUAAUCAUUUAUUAAACUUUAAUGCCG